rnacentral:rRNA from 1 species
UACCUGCAGCCCAAGUGGUGCUCGUUAUUAUUGGGUCUAAAACGUCCGUAGUCGGCUGAGUAGAUGCCCGGGUAAAUCGAGGCGCUCAACGUCUCGAAUUCCGGGUAGACCGCUCGGCUAGGGAGUGGGAGAGGUGCGAGGUACUCUGAGGGUAGGGGUAAAAUCCUGUAAUCCUUGGGGGACCACCAGUGGCGAAGGCGUCGCACUAGAACACGUCCGACGAUCAGGGACGAAGCCCUGGGGCGCAAACGGG